GAUGAAGAACGCAGCGAAAUGCGAUACGUAAUGUGAAUUGCAGAAUUCAGUGAAUCAUCGAAUCUUUGAACGCAUAUUGCGCUCUCUGGUAUUCCGGAGAGCAUGCUUGUUUGAGUAUCAGUAAGCACCUCAACUUCCAUAUCUUUUUUGAAAUGGGAGUUGGACUUGAGUGAUCCCAACGCUUUUCCUCACCGAAAAGUGGCGGGUUACUUGAAAUGCAGGUGCAGCUGGACUUUUCUCUGAGCUAUAAGCAUAUCUAUUUAGUCUGCCUAAAAACAGAUUAUUACCUUUGCUGCAGCUAACAUAAAGGAGAUUAGUUCUUGUGCUGACUGAUGCAGGAUUCACAAAGACAGGCUUCGGCCGACUUUGUAAACUCGAUCUCAAAUCAAGUAAGACUACCCGCUGAACUUAAGCAUAUCAAUAAGCGGAGGA
rnacentral:misc_RNA from 1 species